UGAUCCUGCGCCGAAGAUUUCCGGGGCUAAAACUUACUACCGAAGCUACGGCAUCAGUAAUGAUGGGUAGGGGAGCUUCCCAUACGGGUUGAAGCAUGACCGUAAGGACAUGUGGACAGUAUGGGAGUGAGAAUGUUGGCAUGAGUAGCGAGAUGUGGGUGAGAAUCCCACAGGCCGUAAACCCAAGGUUUCCAGGGGAAGGUUCGUCCGCCCUGGGUUAGUCGGGACCUAAGCUGAGGCCGAAAGGCGUAGGUGAUGGACAACAGGUUGAUAUUCCUGUACUACCGAU
rnacentral:rRNA from 1 species